AUGUAUUUCAAGCCUACUUUCAAACUCAGUGCCUCUUUGAUUGACAUCAUGGGAAAAUCAAAAGAAAUCAGCCAAGACCUCAGUAAAAAAAGGAUGUCUGGUUCAUCCUUGGAAGUAAUUUCCAAAUGCCUGAAGGUACCACGUUCAUCUGUACAAGCAAUAGUAUGCAAGUAUAAACCCAAUAAACCCAGUAGUAUGCAAGUAUAAACACCAUAAACACAUCAUACCGCUCAGGAAGGAGAUGCGUUCUGUCUCCUAGAGAUGAACGUACUUUGGUGCAAAAAGUGAAAAUCAAUCCCAUAACAACAGAAAAGGCCCCUGUGAAGAUGCUGGAAGAAACAGGUACAAAAGUAUCUAUAUCCACAGUAAAACGAGUCCGAUAUUGACAUAACUUGAAAGGCCGCUCAGCAAGGAAUAAGCCACUGCUCCAAAAACCGCCAUAAAAAAGCCAGACUACAGUUUGCUACUGCACAUGGGGACAAAGAUUGUACUUUUUGGAGAAAUGGCCAUGAUGACCAUCGCUAUGUUUGGAGGAAAAGGGGUGCGGCUUGCAGGCCAAAGAACACCAUCCCAGCCAUACCAACCAUCCCCACCAUCAAUUUGAGCAGGAAAAUAAUCCUGCAGCAACAGGAAAUGUGAAUCAUCAUGUGGACUAUAAUUGCUGGACAUUUUUUGUAGGUGUUGAUAAAACAAUUUGUUAGGCUAAAUCAAGUUUGUCAUUUUAAAGUGGAAAUUUCAAACUUUAGAAGCCUUUUUAAACCCUGAAUACACUGCGAGUUUGCAUUUCCUGCCGUGCAGGAAAAUCCUCAGCAACAAAAGAGUGAUCAAAUGAAGAUCCUACAUCUGUAUAUGUCUGCUGCAGAGAGACACGAGAGAAGAGCAUAAGAGAACUUGUUUUGGGAAUAAAAGUGCUGAAAUCAUUUUGGCUCACUAUAAAAAAAAAUCUAGAACUUGCCGCUGGUACAGCCGGCUAACUCUACCUACAGUUUUUACACAUCGAUACUUAAGAGUCAAAUAUUGAUAUAAUAUUGUCCCAAAAU
rnacentral:lncRNA from 1 species